UACAGAGGGUGCAAGCGUUAAUCGGAAUUACUGGGCGUAAAGCGUGCGUAGGUGGUUCUUUAAGUCAGGUGUGAAAUCCCUGGGCUCAACCUGGGAACUGCAUUUGAUACUGGAGAGCUAGAGUGUGGUAGAGGAUGGUGGAAUUCCCGGUGUAGCGGUGAAAUGCGUAGAUAUCGGGAGGAACAUCAGUGGCGAAGGCGGCCAUCUGGACCAACACUGACACUGAGGCACAAAAGCGUGGGGAGCAAACAGG
rnacentral:rRNA from 1 species